GACGAACGCUGGCGGCGUGCCUAAUACAUGCAAGUAGAACGCAGUUGCGAACGGGUGAGUAACGCGUAGGUAACUGCCUCAUAGCGGGGGAUAACUAUUGGAAACGCUAGCUAAUACCGCAUACUGUUAGAUGGACCUUCGUUGUUUUAGCUAGUUGGUGAGGUAAAGGCUCACCAAGGCGACGCUUCAUAGCCGGCCUGAGAGGGGGAGUGGCCACAAUGGGAUGGGGACACGGCCCAGACUCCUACGGGAGGAAGCAGUAGGGAAUCUUCGGCAAUGGACGGAAGUAUGACCGAGCAACGCCGCGUGAGUGAAGAAGGUUUUCGGAUCGUAAAGCUAUGUUGUUAGAGAAGCGGUAACUAAAGAGAAAGGGACGGCUAACUACGUGCCAGCAGCCGCGGUAAUAA
rnacentral:rRNA from 1 species